GACAUGUUGUUCUAUUACAUUCUUGCUUGUCACGGAAGUGGUGUAGCUGAAGUUUCAGUAAAGACAGCACGGGUAUAACUUUCAGCACGUAGUGCAGUAUUUAUCUCAGCAAAGGUUUUAGUAAAUAGAUGACUGGUCAGUUUCUGUUCAGAAUAACAUUACACCUCUCCAGGAGAACCAGCAGCCAAAAUCCAGUCUGAUGAGGCGUAUAGGAACAUCAAAAGGAGAGAUGACCAGCAGCUAAAAUCCAGUCUGAUGAGACGUACAGGAACAUCAAAAGUGCAAUCAUCAAUGGAUGUGUUUUAAUG